GCCUUCGUUGUGUAAUGGUCAGCACACUGAGCCGGUAUUUCAGAGGUCCGCGGUUCGAUUCCCGGCGAAGGCG
rfam:Stegodyphus mimosarum contig21764, whole genome shotgun sequence.